rnacentral:rRNA from 1 species
AACAGUGGAUUGCCCUAGUAGCGGCGAGUGAAGCGGCAACAGCUCAAAUUGAAAUCUGGCCUUCGGGUGUGUCAUUGUAAUAAUAGAGGAAAUGUUUUGUGAAACGCCCCGCACACAAGUUUGAACAAUACAGCAUGAUAGGUGGUGAGACCCCCGUAUAUGGUGAAAUGUUAACAGCGCUAAAGCUUCUUCUUCGAAGAGAGUUGUUUGGGAAUGCAGCAGCUCAUGGGAGGUAAAUAACUUCCAAAUAAAAUAGACAAGAGACCGAUUGCGCACAAUAGAGUGAUUGAAAGAUGAAAAGCACUUAGGAAAGAAAGUUAAAAAGCAGUGAAAAAGUUGAAAGAGAAGAAACGGCAGUCAGAAGAGUUUAAACUGUUGCGCCGGUUUUGCGACCCGUUUUCUCUGUUUGGACAGGCCAGCAUCAGUUUAGGCGGCCGCAUAAAGGCUCUGGGAAUAUGGCUUUCACUUCGGCGAAGGUGUUGUAGCCCAGGGUCUAAUACCGCCAGCCG